GACGAACGCUGGCGGCGUGCUUAACACAUGCCAGUCGAACGGAAAGGCCCUGCUUUUGUUGGGUGCUCGAGUGGCGAACGGGUGAGUAACACGUGAGUAACCUGCCCUUGUCUUUGGGGUAACUUCAGGAAACUCGGGCGAAUACCGGAGAGGAGCUCCUGCUGCGUGGUGGGGGUUGGAAAGUUUCGGCGGUUGGGGAUGUAAUCGCGGCUUAUCAGCUUGUUGGGGAGGUAGUGGUGUCACAAGGCUUUGACGGAUAGCCGGCCUGGGAGGGUGACCAGCCACAUUGGGCCUGAGGUACGGCCCAGAAUGCAACGGGACGCAGCAGGGGAGAAUAUUGCACAAUGGGCGGAAGCGAGAGGCUGCAACGCCGCGUGCGGGAUGACGGCCUUCUAGUUGUAAACCGCUUUCGCAUGUGCCGAAGAGUGAGUGACGGUAAUGGGUAAAGAAGCACCGGCUAACUACGUG
rnacentral:rRNA from 1 species